rfam:Ovis aries breed Texel chromosome 1, whole genome shotgun sequence.
CCCCUGGUGGCUGAGAUGGUAAAGCGUCUGCCUACAAUGUGGGAGACCCGGGUUCAAUCCCUGGGUUGGGAA